rnacentral:rRNA from 1 species
AUUAAGCUAAUAGUUUUGUCAGUUGUUGUUGUGUGGUUAAUGGAAACAUCAAAGUUAUUAAGUAAAGGUGAAAGAAAUUUAUUUUGAUAAAAUGUUAGAGUACUGAAGAGGAAUGGUGCUUCAAUAUUUCUAAGAAACGGUUGAAUCUUGUACCUUUUGCAUUAUGGCUUAGCUAGAUUUAAAUUUUUUAGAAAAUUUCUCGAAAUCUAAUGAUCGAUUUUAGUUCUCGUUUUAGAGUAAAAGGGUGAUUGUUGCAAUAAUCUCUGUAGAAGCUAAAAUAGAAAUGAAAUUUUAUUCGUAUUAGAUGAUAGCUAGUUUCCAUGUAAAAGCAUGUAAGUGCUAGGAACUAAAUAACAAUUAAAAAUAAAUAGUAUUUAAGUGUAUUUAGUUUUUUUGUGUUUAUGAGGAUCAGCUCGUAAAUAUUAUAAUUAAGAAGUGUAAAAUUUAAAUUAAAUUUAAGCUUGAAAAUAGCUAUAAUUAUAAAUUUUGUUAUAAUCCUAUAUUUGUUUUAAAAAGCAGAUUGUUUUACUAUUUUUUAACAGGGAAUAAUUCAUAAACUUAGUAAUGAACUACAUUAAUGCUAAGAUUAGUAUUUUUAUUAUAUAUAUAUAUUAUUGAAAAUUUAAUUCAAAAAUUUAAUAUUUGUUUUUAUCAAUAUUAAAAUUAUAAAAAGGAACUCGGCAAAUAUAUUGUUUUGCCUGUUUAGCAAAAACAUGGCUCCUUGUACUUUAUAGAUGAGGAGUCGGACCUGCCCGGUGAAUUUUUUUAACGGCCGCGGUACCCUGACCGUGCGAAGGUAGCAUAAUCACUUGCCUUAUAAUUGAAGGCUUGUAUGAAUGGUUUGACUAGAACAAAGCUGUCUCUUUGUAAUUAUUUAGAACUUUAUUUUUAGGUGAAGAAGCCUAGAUGUAAUUAAUAGACAAGAAGACCCUAUCGAGCUUUAUAAAAAUUAAUAAACUUUUUAUUUUGAUAUUUAUAUAAAAAUAUUAAUUAUUAAAAACUUUGGUUGGGAUGACUCAGGAACAAGUAAAGCUUCCUGAAUUUUAUAAAUAUACAUAUAUUGAUCCAAAAAUUUUGAUUAAUGGAAUUAGUUACCGUAGGGAUAACAGCAUUAUUCUCUUUGAGAGUUCAUAUCGAAAAGAGGGUUUGUGACCUCGAUGUUGGACCAGAAUAUCCUAAAGAUGCAGAAGUCUUUAAAGGUUGGUCUGUUCGACCAUUAAAAUUCUACGUGAUCUGAGUUCAAACCGGCGUGAGCCAGGUUGGUUUCUAUCUUUAAUUUAUUGUUCAAGUUUAGUACGAAAGGACCAGCUUGUUAUAUUAAAUAUUUUGAAAUGAAUGAAUAUAAUUUAAAUUU